GACGAACGCUGGCGGCGUGCUUAACACAUGCAAGUCGAACGGAAAGGCCCUGCUUUUGUGGGGUGCUCGAGUGGCGAACGGGUGAGUAACACGUGAGUAACCUGCCCUUGACUUUGGGAUAACUUCAGGAAACUGGGGCUAAUACCGGAUAGGAGCUCCUGCUGCAUGGUGGGGGUUGGAAAGUUUCGGCGGUUGGGGAUGGACUCGGGGCUUAUCAGCUUGUUGGUGGGGUAGUGGCUUACCAAGGCUUUGACGGGUAGCCGGCCUGAGAGGGUGAACGGGCACAUUGGGACGGAGAUACGGCCCAGACUCCUACGGGAGGCAGCAGUGGGGAAUAUUGCACAAUGGGCGGAAGCCUGAUGCAGCAACGCCGCGUGCGGGAUGACGGCCUUCGGGUUGUAAACCGCUUUCGCCUGUGACGAAGCGUGAGUGACGGUAAUGGGUAAAGAAGCACCGGCUAACUACGUG
rnacentral:rRNA from 1 species